GUUGAGGCGGGGGAACGGGGGCUAGGAGGUACAGCCUGAGCCCCUCUGGGAGCAGACCUGGACCUUGGGGGGUUAAGGGGUACAGCCUGAGCCCCUCUGGGAGCAGACCUGGACCUUGGGGGGCUAGGGGAUACAGCCUGAGCCCCUCUGGGAGCAGACCUGGAUCUUGGGGGGCUAAGGGGUACAGCCUGAGCCCCUCUGGGAGAAGACUUGGACUUUGGGGGAUUAGGGGUACAGCCUGAGCCCCUCUGGGAGCAGACCUGGAUCUUGGGGGGUUAGGGGGUACAGCCUGAGCCCCUCUGGAGCAGACCUGGACCUUGAGGGGCUAAGGGGUACAGCCUGACCCCCUCUGGGAGCAGACCUGGAUCUUGGGGGGCUAAGGGGUACAUCCUGAGCCCCUCUGGGAGCUGACCUGGAUCUUGGGGGUUAGGGGGUACAGCCUGAGCCCCUCUGGGAGCAGACCUGGAUAUUGGGGGGCUAGGGUGUACAGCUUGAGCCCCUCUGGGAGCAGACCUGGACCUUGGGGGGCUAAGGGGUACAGCCUGAGUGAGCCCCCUCUGGGAGCAACCCUGGUUCCUGUCUUCAGCCAGAGCCUAACCACCCCAGAGCCUAAACCC